rnacentral:misc_RNA from 1 species
AACGCACAUUGCGCCCUUUAGUAUUCUAGAGGGCAUGCCUAUUCGAGCGUCAUUAUCAACCCUCAAGCCCGGCUUGUUAUUGGGCCCGGGACGGGCGUGGCCUUGGUGCCCGCCGGUCCGGCCUCAAAGAUAAUGGCGGCGUCACGACGUGACUCCCGGUGCAGCGAGCUUUUUUGCAUACACUGGUGGCGGUUCGCGUGGCCCAGCCCCUUGUGACCGCAUCGCCGUCCCUUCGGGGGCGCACGGUGUGCUCUCUUUCUCAGGUUGACCUCGGAUUAGGUAGGAUUACCCGCUGAACUUAA